rnacentral:tRNA from 1 species
GGGGUAUUAGUAAACCCAUUACAUAGCCUUGUCAAGACUAAGUCACAGGUGUAACUCCUGUAUACCCUA